rnacentral:rRNA from 1 species
GAUGAACGCUAGCGGCAGGCCUAAUACAUGCAAGUCGAACGGUUCAUGGUUUUCGGAUCAUGGAUAGUGGCGCACGGGUGCGUAACGCGUACACAACAUACCCUUUACUGGGGGAUAGCGGUGGGAAACUGCCAGUAAUACCCCAUGUCCUCGUGAGGUGGCAUUAUUUUGCGAGGAAAGUUACGGCGGUAAAGGAUUGGUGUGCGUCCGAUUAGCUAGUUGGCGGGGUAACGGCCCACCAAGGCGACGAUCGGUAGGGGGUGUGAGAGCAUGGCCCCCCCACACGGGGUACUGAGACACGGACCCGACUCCUACGGGAGGCAGCAGUAAGGAUAUUGGACAAUGGUCGGAAGACUGAUCCAGCCAUGCCGCGUGAAGGAGAAGGCGCUCAGCGUUGUAAACUUCUUUUGGAUGGGAAUAAUAACCUCUACGAGAUAGGGGCUUGAAGGUACCAUCAGAAUAAGCACCGGCUAACUCCGUGCCAGCAGCCGCGGUAAUGUCUAGC